UACGGGGGGGGUAAGCGUUGUUCGGAAUUACUGGGCGUAAAGGGCUCGUAGGCGGCCAACUAAGUCGGACGUGAAAUCCCUCAGCUUAACUGGGGAACUGCGUCUGAUACUGGAUGGCUUGGAUUUGGGAGAGGGAUGCGGAAUUCCAGGUGUAGCGGUGAAAUGCGUAGAUACCUGGAGGAACACCGGUGGCGAAGGCGGCAUCCUGGACCAACAUUGACGCUGAGGAGCGAAAGCCAGGGGAGCAAACGGG
rnacentral:rRNA from 1 species